rnacentral:SRP_RNA from 1 species
GCUGGGCACAGUGGUCUGUGCCUGUAGUCCCAGCUACUCAGGAGGCUGAGGUGGGAGGAUCACUUGAGCCCAGGAGUUCUGGGCUGUAGCGCACUAUCCUGAUCGGGUGUCUGCACUAAGCUCGGCAUCAAUGUGGUGACCUCCCAGGAGCCAGGAACCACCAGGUUGCCUAAGGAGGGGUGAACCGGGCCAGGUCGGAAACAGAGCAAGUCAAAACUCCUGUGCUGAUCAGUAGUGGGAUCACACCUGUCAGUAGCCACUGCACUCCAGCCUGGGCAACACAGCAAGAUGCCAUCUCU